rnacentral:rRNA from 1 species
AGUGAACGCUGGCGGUAGGCCUAACACAUGCAAGUCGAACGGCAGCACAGUAAGAGCUUGCUCUUACGGGUGGCGAGUGGCGGACGGGUGAGGUAUACAUCGGAAUCUACUUUUUCGUGGGGGAUAACGUAGGGAAACUUACGCUAAUACCGCAUACGACCUACGGGUGAAAGCAGGGGAUCUUCGGACCUUGCGCGAUUGAAUGAGCCGAUGUCGGAUUAGCUGGUUGGCGGGGUAAAGGCCCACCAAGGCGACGAUCCGUAGCUGGUCUGAGAGGAUGAUCAGCCACACUGGAACUGAGACACGGUCCAGACUCCUACGGGAGGCAGCAGUGGGGAAUAUUGGACAAUGGGCGCAAGCCUGAUCCAGCCAUACCGCGUGGGUGAAGAAGGCCUUCGGGUUGUAAAGCCCUUUUGUUGGGAAAGAAAAGCAGCAGGUUAAUACCCCGCUGUUCUGACGGUACCCAAAGAAUAAGCACCGGCUAACUUCGUG